rnacentral:rRNA from 1 species
CCUACGGGUGGCAGCAGUGAGGAAUAUUGGUCAAUGGGCGCGAGCCUGAACCAGCCAAGUAGCGUGAAGGAUGACUGCCCUACGGGUUGUAAACUUCUUUUAUAUGGGAAUAAAAUGUUCCACGUGUGGGAUUUUGUAUGUACCAUAUGAAUAAGGAUCGGCUAACUCCGUGCCAGCAGCCGCGGUAAUACGGAGGAUCCGAGCGUUAUCCGGAUUUAUUAGGUUUAAAGGGAGCGUAGGUGGAUUGUUAAGUCAGUUGUGAAAGUUUGCGGCUCAACCGUAGAAUUGCAGUUGAAACUGGCAGUCUUGAGUACAGGAGAGGUGGGCGGAAUUCGUAGUGUAGCGGUGAAAUGCUUAGAUAUCACGAAGAACUCCGAUUGCGAAGGCAGCUCACUGGACUGCAACUGACACUGAGGCUCGAAAGUGUGGGUAUCAAACAGGAUUAGAUACCCUUGUAGUC